AGUCACGUGACGAGGAACUAGCAAUAACCCGGCCUUGGGGGAAAAAUUCUAACUGGUGGAGCUCCUGGUAACUGGCGCGAUGGGGUCUUAAGAUCGGAGGAUUGGAACCAUCUGAUUUUUACCUCUGAUACUUUAGUCUCGGGUUCUCUCCUGUGUUGGGAAAAUGAGUCCCCUCUCACCAUGUCCGGCUGGCGGCGACCCAGAUGCCAUGUGAUGGUCAUUUGAAGACAAGCCUGGCGGACAUCAGGCCUCCCAGGCACCAGACACUUGCCCUCAGGGACCUGUGCUUUCAGCUGUCCAUACCUGGCCCUGGUUGAUGGCUGCAUGCUGAGCAGUGCACGUGAAGAUGCACAUGGAACAUGUGAGGACAUCUGGAAAUUAUUGAGGCCAGGAUUCAGGACUGAGACCCCAGCAAUCCAAAGCAAGAGGCUGCACAGGCCACUGUUAGGACAUCUGCAGACUUUACCGUCAUGUGCAUCCACCAGCAAGUCAGCUGCCUGCCUGAGGAUGGCAUUACUGUGGUGAGUGCAGACAGCGGGAGGGCUGAACCAGGAAGGGGAACUGGGUGAAUAGAGGCUUCAGUUGUUUAAGUGGAGCAGAGGAUGGGGACACAGGAGGCAGCUUGAGAUGAAUUAAAUCCAAGAUGCCAUUAAUCGGGCUGGUCUCCAUCUUGUCUCUGUUACCAAAGGGGUCACUCCAGAGGUGGCACAGCUAUACUGGCCAGGCCUGGGGCAUCUGGGUGGAGGCCCCCAACUGAAACACAAUUCAGUUGUUUUUACCCAGGACUCACUUGCGUAUCUUACCAAUACAUCAAACUCCAUGUACCUAAAACAAAACACCUCAUUUUUGCUGACUCUGGCUUGUUCUAACUUUACUGUUUCUGACAAUUACUCUGGUUUGUAAGCCUGUAUCAUGUUUGUGCCCCCUCGGCCAAGUUCCUUAUAUGUAAAGUAUCAUCAAGAUUUUGAGAACAUUUUUUUAAAGCAAACACAGGUCUUAUUUUGCCUUCUCCCUGGCAAUAUAUACUGAACUCCCUGUUUAAAAAUUACAGUAUUUAUUAAUUUUUUUUUUUUUUAAUCUAGAGACUGGGACUUGCUAUAUUGCCCACUCUGGUCUUGAACUUCUGGUCUUAAGCGAUUAUACUGCUUUGGCCACCCAAAGCACUGGGAUUACAGGCGUGAGCCACCACACCCAGCUCCGAAAACCACAGUAUUUUUAGGUUAGUACAGCACACCACCCCGUGGACUUACAGGUGUGGCAGAAGCUUGUACUGAUGGCUUUUCUCUGUCUUGCACCCAGGCACGCUGUGGCUACUGUUUCCUCUACUAUGUUUUAGGUUUUUUCCUUUUCGUUCCUGUCAUUACCAUGCUAGCGUACAUCUCUAUCCACCUUACUGUUGGGCAGGUAUGAGUGGCUUGCUGGCUGCUCUUCCUUGCCUUUUGAUCUGUUCUUACUUAGCUGACUCCUCAGUUCGGGUAAAACAUUCUUCAUGAGUACUAGACUGUUCCAGGCUGUCUCAUGUGAUUUCAAACUCUAGUACCAGAUACUGUUCUCUGGUUGGCUCUUACGGGCUAAAUACGAGAUCUGUUUUUCUGGUUAAAUACUAAAUCUAAGGUAGGAAUGCGGCCUGGGUUUUACUAAUAGUGUUCAAUCCCUACUGUGAGCACACUGCUAGACUGUCGGAUCUCAGAAUUUCAGAGGGUUCGUGUAGAAUGUUAAGUGACUAAACUUAAUUAAACUUAAUUAAAAUCAACAUCUCAAGAUAUUGA